rnacentral:rRNA from 1 species
CCUAACCUACGGGACGCAGCAGUGGGGAAUAUUGCACAAUGGGGGGAACCCUGAUGCAGCGACGCCGCGUGAGUGAAGAAGUAUUUCGGUAUGUAAAGCUCUCUCAGCAGGGAAGAAGAUGACGGUACCUGACUAAGAAGCCCCGGCUAACUACGUGCCAGCAGCCGCGGUAAUACGUAGGGGGCAAGCGUUAUCCGGAUUUACUGGGUGUAAAGGGAGCGUAGACGGCAGGGCAAGUCUGGAGUGCAAGCCCGGGGCCCAACCCCGGGACUGCUUUGGAAACUGCCAUGCUGGAGUGC